rnacentral:rRNA from 1 species
AUAGAUACCCCGGUAGUCCAUGCCGUAAACGUUGGGCACUAGGUGUGGGGGACAUUCCACGUUUUCCGCGCCGUAGCUAACGCAUUAAGUGCCCCGCCUGGGGAGUACGGCCGCAAGGCUAAAACUCAAAGGAAUUGACGGGGGCUCACACAAGCGGUGGAGCAUGUGGUUCAAUUCGAAGCAACGCGCAGAACCUUACCUGGGCUUGACAUGCUCGGAUUACCCUCGUGAAAGCGAGGUAGGCCCCGCAAGGGGUACAACGAGUACAGGUGCUGCAUGGCUGUCGUCAGCUCGUGUCGUGAGAUGUCGGGUUAAGUCCCUUAACGAGCGAAACCUUUACCCUUAGUUACCAGCGGGUUAUGCCGGGGACUCUAAGGGGACCGCCGGUGUCAAACCGGAGGAAGGUGGAGAUGACGUCAAGUCCUCAUGGCCUUUAUGCCCAGGGCCACACACGUGCUACAAUGGCGUUGACAAAGCGACCCUAAAGCGCGAGCUCAUGGAAAUCGCAGAAACAACGCCCCAGUUCAGAUCGGAGGCUGCAACUCGCCUCCGU